GUCGAACGGCAGCACGGGAGCAAUCCUGGUGGCGAGUGGCGAACGGGUGAGUAAUACAUCGGAACGUGUCCUGUAGUGGGGGAUAGCCCGGCGAAAGCCGGAUUAAUACCGCAUACGCUCUACGGAGGAAAGGGGGGGAUCUUAGGACCUCCCGCUACAGGGGCGGCCGAUGGCAGAUUAGCUAGUUGGUGGGGUAAAGGCCUACCAAGGCGACGAUCUGUAGCUGGUCUGAGAGGACGACCAGCCACACUGGGACUGAGACACGGCCCAGACUCCUACGGGAGGCAGCAGUGGGGAAUUUUGGACAAUGGGCGAAAGCCUGAUCCAGCAAUGCCGCGUGUGUGAAGAAGGCCUUCGGGUUGUAAAGCACUUUUGUCCGGAAAGAAAACGUCGUGGUUAAUACCCGUGGCGGAUGACGGUACCGGAAGAAUAAGCACCGGCUAACUACGUGCCAGCAGCCGCGGUAAUACGUAGGGUGCAAGCGUUAAUCGGAAUUACUGGGCGUAAAGCGUGCGCAGGCGGUUCGCUAAGACAGAUGUGAAAUCCCCGGGCUUAACCUGGGAACUGCAUUUGUGACUGGCGGGCUAGAGUAUGGCAGAGGGGGGUAGAAUUCCACGUGUAGCAGUGAAAUGCGUAGAGAUGUGGAGGAAUACCGAUGGCGAAGGCAGCCCCCUGGGCCAAUACUGACGCUCAUGCACGAAAGCGUGGGGAGCAAACAGGAUUAGAUAC
rnacentral:rRNA from 1 species